rnacentral:rRNA from 1 species
GUCCGCCUGCCCACUGACUAUAUGUUCAACGGCCGCGGUAUUUUGACCGUGCAAAGGUAGCGUAAUCACUUGUCUCAUAAAUGGAGACUUGUAUGAAAGGCAUCACGAGGGCUCGACUGUCUCCUCUCUCCAAGUCAAUGAAAUUGAUCUCCCCGUGCAGAAGCGGGGAUUUAACCAUAAGACGAGAAGACCCUAUGGAGCUUUAGGCCAAAGGGCAGACCAUGUUCAUACACCUGCAAUAGCAAAGCAAACUUAUUGUAUCCUGUCCUAAUGUCUUCGGUUGGGGCGACCAUGGAGUAAAAACCACCCUCCACGCGGAAUGGGAGUACAUAAAAAUUUAAACCAUUCACCACUCCUAAAGUUGAGAGCUGCGGCCCUAAACAGCAAAACUUUUGACCCCUUUUGAUCCGGCACCGCCGAUUAACGAACCAAGUUACCCUAGGGAUAACAGCGCAAUCCCCUUCUAGAGCCCAUAUCGACAAGGGGGUUUACGACCUCGAUGUUGGAUCAGGACAUCCUAAUGGUGUAGCCGCUAUUAAGGGUUCGUUUGUUCAACGAUUAAAGUCCUACGUGAUCUG